rnacentral:rRNA from 1 species
GAUGAACGCUGGCGGCGUGCCUAAUACAUGCAAGUCGAGCGAACAGACGAGUAGCUUGCUCCUCUCACGUUAGCGGCGGACGGGUGAGUAACACGUGGAUAACCUACCUAUAUGACUGGGAUAACUGCGGGAAACCGGAGCUAAUAGCGUAUAAUAUAUUGAACCGCAUGGUUCAAUAGUGAAAGACGGUUUUGCUGUCACUUAUAGAUGGAUCCGCGCCGCAUUAGCUAGUUGGUAAGGUAACGGCUUACCAAGGCAACGAUGCGUAGCCGACCUGAGAGGGGGAUCGGCCCCGCUGGAGCGGAGGCACGGUCCAGACUCCUACGGGAGGCAGCAGUAGGGAAUCUUCCGGCAUGGGCGAAUGCUUGACGGAGCACCGCCGCGUGAGUGAUGAAGGUCUUCGGAUCGUAAAACUCUGUUAUUAGGGAAGAACAAAUGUGUAAGUAACUAUGCACGUCUUGACGGUACCUAAUCAGAAAGCCACGGCUAACUACGUG